UUCUAUGGUCCUUUCACUUUUGCCAGCUAGGUAGAAUCAACCCAGGUUAGGACUUGGAUGGGAGACCUCCAAAGAAUAAGAUAGGGACUGUAGGAN
rnacentral:rRNA from 1 species